rnacentral:rRNA from 1 species
CGGCGGACGGGUGAGUAACACGUGGGUAACCUACCUAUAAGACUGGGACAACUUCGGGAAACCGGAGCUAAUACCGGAUAAGAUAUCGAACCGCAUGGUUCGAUAGUGAAAGAUGGUUUUACUAUCACUUAUAGAUGGACCCGCGCCGUAUUAGCUAGUUGGUGAGGUAACGGCUCACCAAGGCAACGAUACGUAGCCGACCUGAGAGGGUGAUCGGCCACACUGGAACUGAGACACGGUCCAGACUCCUACGGGAGGCAGCAGCC